GGGCCCUCCAUGGUGGUCUCACGUGAGCUCUCGCACUUUCUGUUUACCUUUCGCACGUGAGCCUGCCUGUGACAAAACGCACACUUUUCGGGAACGACGCAGAACGUCAGGGGUAGCCACAGCGUGUCCAUGAUCUUAAUCUACUUGGGUCCAAGUUAGCAGGAAUCAGAACUGCAUUCAUCAAGAUUGCAACUAACCCUCCAAGGCCAAGGGGGCUGGCUUCAUAUUCCUCGAGGUGAAACCUCUUCAUUGAGGCUACAAAAAUGAGGCCGGUUGACAUCACACGACCCAUUAAGGUCCAGCCAACAGGUGAGAGCGCAGCUGCAAGAAUCUGCAUACAUCUGUCAGAGGGCAGGCAGCGGAGAGUUGGGGGAAGUCACUGACAACUGGCUUCAUAAACUUCGGCUGUAGAUGUACGAGACUUAAGAUAAAUAGCGCCGUGCACGCACAGCCCCGGGGGCCCUGUCAACAUUCACGACCUCCAAAUAAUACCCUGAUUUGGGUUUCUUACACUGUGUAUUACCACUUGAAAUAUGAGCGUAAGGUGGAAUUUUUUUCUUUCUACCAUAUGCAGAACAAGUGUGCAAAGAUCUUGGGCCAUCGGCGUUUUAAUAACCCUUUUCACAACCCUCGUACUGACAUAGCAGAACAGCAAAAUCCAAGAGACUUGAUGACAGAAAAUAAACAU